UGAGCGCAUGUGCCCUCCGGGUUUCGAGGGGGGCAGACGAGGGAGAGGUUCAUCGAGACGUCAGCGGAUGCCUCUCGGCGUGCUGCAGCCGUAAACGGAUUACAAACCCCGGCGGCAACGGCGGGAACAAAAUU
rnacentral:ncRNA from 1 species